rnacentral:misc_RNA from 1 species
AAGUCGUAACAAGGUUUCCGUAGGUGAACCUGCGGAAGGAUCAUUACAACGUAUCCACGUACCAAACUCUCGAACCGUUCCCAACGAAGCAAACACUUGUGGAUGAAGUUAAUGGCUGUCUGUCUUUCGCUGAUGGAGUCCGCUGACUUUUGUCAAAGGGACUGAAAGGCAUUCGGUCGCCGGAGCUCGUCUCUGGGGCUUCGUUUACUUCGUUGCGGUUUUACCGUCAGCGUUUGUAAUACCAUUAUUGACCCUUUGAACUUAUGAACUGAACUUGAUAGCUUUGCAGCUGUCCUUGCUGGCUUCGGUCACGGACAUAACUGCUCAGCUUAUCACAUUUACAAAACAAAGAACAACUCUUAGCAACGGAUAUCUUGGUUCUC